GACGAACGCUGGCGGCGUGCUUAACACAUGCAAGUCGAGCGGAAAGGCUCCUUCGGGGGUACUCGAGCGGCGAACGGGUGAGUAACACGUGAGUAAUCUGCCCUGCGCUCUGGGAUAGCCACCGGAAACGGUGAUUAAUACCGGAUAUGACCGCUACACGCAUGUGUUGGUGGUGGAAAGUUUUUCGGCGCAGGAUGUGCUCGCGGCCUAUCAGCUUGUUGGUGAGGUAAUGGCUCACCAAGGCUUUGACGGGUAGCCGGCCUGAGAGGGUGACCGGUCACACUGGGACUGAGACACGGCCCAGACUCCUACGGGAGGCAGCAGUGGGGAAUAUUGGACAAUGGGCGGAAGCCUGAUCCAGCAACGCCGCGUGAGGGAUGACGGCCUUCGGGUUGUAAACCUCUUUCAGUACCGACGAAGCGAAAGUGACGGUAGGUACGGAAGAAGGACCGGCCAACUACGUGCCAGCAGCCGCGGUAAAAC
rnacentral:rRNA from 1 species